AGUUGCUAGGUGUUUCUAAGGUGUUCUGGGUAGUUGCUAGGUGUUUCUAGGGUGUUCUGAGUGAAUGCUAGGUGUUUCUAGGAUGCUUUGAGUGAAUGCUAGGUGUUUCUAGGGUGUUCUGGGUAGUUGCUAGGUGUUUCUAAGGUGUUCUUGGUAGUUGCUAGGUGUUUCUAGGGUGUUCUGAGUGAAUGCUAGGUGUUUCUAGGAUGCUUUGAGUGAAUGCUAGGUGUUUCUAGGGUGUUCUGGGUAGUUGCUAGGUGUUUCUAAGGUGUUCUUGGUAGUUGCUAGGUGUUUCUAGGGUGUUCUGAGUGAAUGCUAGGUGUUUCUAGGAUGCUUUGAGUGAAUGCUAGGUGUUUCUAGGGUGUUCUGAGUGAAUGCUAGGUGUUUCUAGGAUGCUUUGAGUGAAUGCUAGGUGUUUCUAGGGUGUUCUGAGUGAAUGCUAGGUGUUUCUAGGAUGCUUUGAGUGAAUGCUAGGUGUUUCUAGGGUGUUCUGAGUGAAUGCUAGGUGUUUCUAGGGUGUUCUGGGUAGUUGCUAGGUGGUUUCUAUCAUGUCUGAGUGAAUGCUAGGUGUUUCUAGGAUGCUUUGAGUGAAUGCUAGGUGUUUCUAGGGUGUUCUGAGUGAAUGCUAGGUGUUUCUAGGAUGCUUUGAGUGAAUGCUAGGUGUUUCUAGGGUGUUCUGAGUGAAUGCUAGGUGUUUCUAGGAUGCUUUGAGUGAAUGCUAGGUGUUUCUAGGGUGUUCUGAGUGAAUGCUAGGUGUUUCUAGGAUGCUUUGAGUGAAUGCUAGGUGUUUCUAGGGUGUUCUGAGUGAAUGCUAGGUGUUUCUAGGGUGUUCUGGGUAGUUGCUAGGUGGUUUCUAUCAUGUCUGAGUGAAUGCUAGGUGUUUCUAGGAUGCUUUGAGUGAAUCCUAGGUGUUUCUAGUGUUGUAUAAAUGGUUGUUAGUUGGUGUUUUUAGUGUUUGCUGUUUCUAAGGUGUUCUGAGUAGGUGGUUUCUAGCAUGUUCUGAGUGAAUGCUAGGUGGUUGUUUAGCAGAUCACUCGUUCAGUGUAAAUCCAUGGGAUUUCUUCACUCAUUUAUUGUCUGCCAGGUAAAAAAUUGUAAUUGUAAUGUGUAAUUGAGGUAUCAUUCAUGUCUGUUGGAAAAACAGUUUAGAAUUAUGUUAGAGUUAUGUGCCAAAUUUUAAUAUAUAAGUUUAGGGAUUUUUAAAAACAUCUAAACCAAAGGUUGACCAAUAAUAGUAGUGAUGAUUUUCUUAGCAACAAAAGCUAAAUAAGCUCAUACAGACAUUUUCAGACACAAGCACAGAGUGUACUUUCUCAUGUCUGACUUCUGCAUGAACCACCAGUUGUUAAACAUGUACGUGGCUAAAUGAUUUGCUGAAGUUUGUCACAUGGUAGAGUGGCUGAGUCAGAACUGAAAAACACAUUUAAACCUCCAAAAUCAGCACACAAUUGCAGCAUACGUAGUGACAUCAGACUGUGAGAGCUUUGAAAUGAGAGCGGUUAAGAACAAAAGAUUCUAUGACAGUGAGAGAAAGAGACAGACAGCUGUGAAGUGACAGGAACUACAUCAUCUAGUUUUUCACCUUUACAAAACCUCUGUUCCAAAACCUAGCUGUCUACCACCUAAAUAGGCAGAUGCCUUCUAAGGUAGCAUCCUCACUGAGAUGUAACCUCAUAAGUAACUGAUUUGGAACACACUAUUUAGGCACCACAAAAAUAGUGCUUAUUGCACGAAACGCAUGGAAAACUCGACUCACAGUUGAUUCCAAUAUAGUUUGACGUUAGCAUGUUGCUAAGCUAAUGAUACUUUUAGGAAACGUUUGAGGAGACAGGUGUUAAAAACACAGCUAUUGGUAUUAGCAUAUUACCUCUGUUCUCUAUAGAUAAUCUUACACCUCCAGAAUAAAUGCUAGCAUGGCAUAGCAUAAUUUAUUCUUCACAAUAUGAUUGCUUGGAGAUGUCUCUGUUGACAAUCAAAAAGCUAAUGUUAACGUUGCAGUUUUGGGGGCCUGGGUAGAUUAGUGGUAAAAGACGCUGGCUACCACCCCUGGAGUUCGCGAGUUUGAAUCCAGGGCAUGCUGAGUGACUCCAGCCAGGUCUCCUAAGCAACCAAAUUGGCCCGGUUGCUAGGGAGGGUAGAGUCACAUGGGGUAACCUCCUCGUGGUCGCUAUAAUGUGGUACGUUCUCGGUGGGACGUGUGGUGAGUUGAGCGUGGAUGCCGCGGUGGAUGGCGUGAAGCCUCCACACGCGCUAUGUCUCCGUGGCAACGUGCUCAACAAGCCACGUGAUAAGAUGCGUGGGUUGAUGGUCUCAGAUUCAUCCUCCGCCACCUAGAUUAAGGCGAAUCACUACAUCACCACGAGGACUUAAAAAGCGCACUGGGAAUUGGGCAUUCCAAAUUGGGUGAAAAAGGGG